rnacentral:lncRNA from 1 species
CGUGGGCGAUCCGCAUGCGCACGAUUAGACGGCCCAGAUCCGUUCCCACGUGCACGGACGGCCCAGAUCAAACGUGUGCACGGACGGCCCAGAUUCACGCGUACGGACAGCCCAGAUUCAAUCAGGCAUGGAUGGCCCAGAUUGCAUCGCGAUGGACGGUCUAGAUUUAAUCCUAAUUAAAUCGCGAUCGGACAGUCCAGAUUUAAUCUUGAUGGACGGCUGAGAUUAAAAGGCAAAGGGUAUAAAUAACCCCACCCACUCCUGACCACAAAACCCUAGCCGCCAGUGCCUCGCUGGAGAAAAAGAACCAGACGCCGAAGGAGCCGGCCGCCGCCACCCGCCGCCACAUCGGAGAAGUUUCUGACCGCCAAUCGAGAUAAAUUUUCUCCCUUUGGCUAGUUUUUCGAUGCUGAAUCCGCUAUGGCCAAACCGGAGCCAAACCACCGGCCAAACGGCUGAAAAACCCUGACAAAUUUUGGCACUGCCACUGCGACUCCCCUCUAUUUUUGCCUCCAAUGAGCCCUUCCCGGCCUCCGUUCGAUGCAAAUUUUAUACCACUGUGAUCACCGUUCUUUUCUCUACAGGUUGAUCAGAGCCAAACAUCAAAACGUGACUCACGCCGGAGGAGCCGCCGCACCCGAGAGCACCGCCGCCG